AUGCAGGCAAUCUAUGAAGUUUUUUGUUGUAAUGUCAGCAUAUAUGGUUUCUAUCAGGCAAUAUUUACCUAGCAAUUUUGCUAGGUUUGUUUGAAUUCAGCACAUGGAAAGCUACAGAGCUUCGGCAAUUUUUACUUUACACUGGCCCUGUUGUUCUCCUCAAUAAUAUACCCAGUAGAAUGUACAGAAACUUUUUACUUCUAUCGGUAUCUAUGAGAAUUCUUCUGAGUCCUGCCUUAUGUUCUCCUGACAAUUGUGACUAUGCUGAGGAGAUUUUGAAACUCUUUGUAACAGAUUUUGCUGCAAUUUAUGGCACUGAAUUUGUCAGCUAUAACAUGCAUUCAUUGAUCCACCUAGCUCAAGAUGCACGAAAAUUCGGCCCGUUAGAUAGUGUUUCAGCUUUUCCCUUUGAGACAUUUUUAGGUAAACUGAAAAAACUUGUCCGUCGGCCUCAAAACCCUGUCCAACAACUCGUCAGGCGGAUCCAUGAGAAGCAGAAAGUGGCAAGCCAAAAGACCACAUCAGUUUUCAGCCCACUUAAACAGCUCCACUUUUCUGGACCAUUGAUUAAAUCAAUUGCAACAUGGGAAUAAUACAGGCGUUACAAUGAUGGACAGACACUGAUCUCCUCCUCUCGUGGCGAUGACUGUUUUUCUGUAGGGGGAAGGAUUCUUAUUGUGCGGAACAUUUUGUCACAUUUUGGAACUGUUAAAGUCCUGUGUAAUUUCUUUGAAACUGCCAAAUCCUUUUUCACCUAUCCAAUGGACUCAUCAUGUCUUGGAAUUCUGUUUGUUUUUAAUUUAUCUGAAGACUAGCAGCUGUUACCUGUGGAGGAGUUAAAAACAAAAAUGGUGUUAUUGCCACUCAAGACUGGAUACGUGGCAUUGCCACUCCUGCACUAGUGUGCUAUUUUUUUUAUUUAUUUUUUUUAUUGUUUGUUUUAAUUUUUUGUAUGUAUUUGUUUUUCUUUAAGCAUGUUACCUUUCGCGAUAGUUGAAUUUAUAAAUAGUGGAGGAUUGGCAGUUAUACCGACCAAAUGGUUUAUCGGGCCUGAGGAGGAUGAAUGCUACUGGCCACCAGCAAGGACGAACAUGGCUAAGGCAGUCAUAGAGCAACAGGACCCUCACACUGACUGGGCGACAUACAAGUUGACUGUCAAGAGAAAAGUCGCAACGUAUGAAAUUGCCCGCACAAAAUUAGUCGAGUAUGAACAGAACACAGAUGUACCAACCGAGUCUGAUUCUACAGAGAAUACGGGAAGGGGGAAGCGCAAAAAGAGGCGAGUGAUUUUGUCCAGUGAGGAUGAGGAUGAUGACAAUUGGUCCGGCAGUCAAAUCAGGCCUACACCUCCAUCCACCCUCAGUGCAUCCACCCUCAGAUCUGUGCUGACACCUGCACCGCCUCCAUCCACCCUCAGAUCUGUGCUGACACCUGCACCGCCUCCAUCCACCCUCAGAUCUGUGCAGACACCUGCACCGCCUCCAUCCACCCUCAGAUCUGUGCUGACACCUGCACCGCCUCCAUCCACCCUCAGGUCUUCACCUCCAUCUGCUAGGCCGACACUUCCACCACCUCUGGGUAACCUUAGAUGGCCCGAUGUUUCAACCCAUCACCACGUCACCAUGUCACCAGAAACCCCUCGAAGACAAAUCAGGGACAACAUGUUUGUUCGCAUCUUAACACUGCUUGAGGAGAUGAAAGAGACUCAAAAAAUCCAGGGGAGGAUGCUACAAACGCUUCUACAACAGCGUGGCAACAUUAGCACCACCGUCUCUUCUACCCCAGAGGGUUUCCCCCUAAAGACAGUUAGAGAUGUGGAAUUCAUGGAAGGAAAAACUGGCAAACCCAAACUUCAUGUCCGAACUGGUUGCAGCUGUGACUGACAUAGGGGGAACUGUUGACGAGGCCACAAAAAGGAUGAUGACCUUCCUCCUAGACCAUGCCCUAUCCAGGCAGUAUAACUUUCUGGGCCGAAAUGGGAAGAGAGAGUUCAAGGCCUUAAAACUGUAUGAAGUAAUAUAUGGAGGCUUAAAGAAAAACGCCAUGACCAGCCAAAUCACCCGUAAAGAUGCCGAGAAGGCGGUCUCCAAGUGGUAAUAGACAGGCCCGACAGGCAACCCCUCAACAAGGACUUCAGACUUCAGGCUCAUUUGAGGUGGAAAGAAACUAAUUCUGUCUGUGACAGUGAGGGAACACUGUACAAAAGCAUGUUGUCAUAAAUUUUACUUAAAUAAAAACAUAAUUAAUUGUAUUACUGGUCUCUUUAUUGUAGCUUGUUUAACCCAAGGUUUUCGGGUCUGUGGGACCCGUUUUCAAUGUUUGCUAAAAGAAAAAGUUAUGCUAUUUAUUAUUUCUUCUAACUCAAACUCAUUGGCCGUGGCUCAUUUUCUG